CUCAUCGUAUCCCAAUUGCGCAGAUGCAUAUUUCAGCCACUCCUAAACAGUCAAACUAAUGCAGAAUCAAACUUAGAGGUCCAUGGGAAUGUUUCUAGAUCUGUUAAUUGGCAGAUACUUGAUGGUUGGUUGGUUGGUUG